rnacentral:rRNA from 1 species
UACGUAGGGGGCUAGCGUUGUCCGGAAUCAUUGGGCGUAAAGCGCGCGUAGGCGGCCAGAUAAGUCCGGUGUGAAAGUCACAGGCUCAACCUGUGAAUGCCGCUGGAAACUGUCUGGCUUGAGUCCGGAAGGGGCGAGUGGAAUUCCUGGUGUAGCGGUGAAAUGCGUAGAUAUCUGGAGGAACACCGGUGGCGAAGGCGACAUCCUGGGCCGGUAUUGACGCUGAGGCGCGAAAGCGUGGGGAGCAAACGGG